UACGAAUGGGGCAAGCGUUGUUCGGAAUCACUGGGCUUAAAGCGUACGCAGGCGGUUUAGCAAGUCAGAAGUGAAAUCCCAGAGCUUAACUUUGGAAUUGCUUUUGAAACUGCUGAACUAGAAUCCGAGAGAGGUUGGCGGAAUUCCGAGUGUAGAGGUGAAAUUCGCAGAUAUUCGGAGGAACACCAGUGGCGAAGGCGGCCAACUGGAUCGGUAUUGACGCUCAUGUACGAAAGCGUGGGGAUCAAACAGG
rnacentral:rRNA from 1 species